CUCAGACUCCGGCGUCUGCGCUUCCCCAUGGGGCUGGCCCGCGGCGCCUGGGCGCUCUGAGAUUGUCACUACUGCUCCAAGGGCACACGCAGAGGGAUUUGGAAUUCCUGGAGAGUUGCCUUUGUGAGAAGCUGGAAAUAUUUCUUUCAAUUCCAUCUCUUAGUUUUCCAUAGGAACAUCAAGAAAUCAUGAACAACUUUGGUAAUGAAGAAUUUAACUGCCACUUCCUCGAUGAAGGUUUUACUGCCAAGGACAUUCUGGACCAAAAAAUUAAUGAAGUUUGUUUUUCUGAUGAUAAGGAUGCCUUCUAUGUGGCAGACCUGGGAGACAUUCUAAAGAAACAUCUGAGGUGGUUAAAAGCUCUCCCUCAUGUCACCCCCUUUUAUGCAGUCAAAGGUAAUGAUAGCAAAGCCAUCGUGAAGACCCUUGCUGCUGUGGGGACAGGAUUUGACUGUGCUAGCAAGACCGAAAUACAGCUGGUGCAGAGUCUGAGGGUGCCUCCAGAGAGGAUUAUCUAUGCGAAUCCAUGUAAACAAGUAUCUCAAACUAAGUAUGCUGCUAAUAAUGGAGUCCAGAUGAUGACUUUUGAUAGUGAAUUUGAGUUGAUGAAAGUUGCCAGAGCACAUCCAAAAGCAAAAUUGGUUUUGAGGAUUGCCACUGAUGAUUCCAAAGCAGUCUGUCAUCUCAGUGUUAAAUUCGGUGCCACGCUCAGAAAUAGCAGGCUCCUUUUGGAAUGGGCAAAAGAGCUGAAUAUCGAUGUCGUUGGUGUCAGCUUCCACGUAGGAAGCGGCUGUACCGAUACUGAGACCUUCGUGCAGGCAAUCUCUGAUGCCCGCUGUGUUUUUGACAUGGGGGCUAAGGUUGGUUUCAGCAUGUAUCUGCUUGAUAUUGGCGGUGGCUUUCCUGGAUCUGAGGAUGUGAAGCUUAAAUUUGAAGAGAUCACCAGCAUAAUCAACCCAGACUCUGGAGUGAGAAUCAUAGCUGAGCCUGGCAGAUACUAUGUUGCAUCAGCUUUCACACUUGCGGUUAAUAUCAUCUCCAAGAAAAUUGUAUUAAAGGAACAAACUGGCUCUGAUGAUGAAGAUGAGUCGAGUGAACAGAACUUUAUGUAUUAUGUGAAUGAUGGCGUCUAUGGAUCAUUUAAUUGCAUACUAUAUGAUCACGCACAUGUAAAGCCCCUUCUGCAAGAGAGACCUAAACCAGAUGAGAAGUAUUAUUCAUCCAGCAUAUGGGGACCAACAUGUGAUGGCCUUGAUCGGAUUGUGGAGCGCUGUGACCUUCCCGAAAUGCAUGUGGGUGAUUGGAUGCUCUUUGAAAACAUGGGCGCUUACACUGUUGCUGCUGCCUCUACGUUCAAUGGCUUCCAGAGGCCGGUGAUCUACUAUGUGAUGUCAGGGCCCGCGUGACAACUCAUGCAGCAAUUCCAGAACCCCGACUUCCCACCUGAAGUAGAGGAAUAGGACACCAGCACCCUGCCUGUGUCUUGUGCCUGGGAGAGUGGGAUGAAACGCCACUCAGCAGCCUGUGCUUCAGCUGGUAUUAAUGUGUAG